rnacentral:rRNA from 1 species
GCCUUUGUCAAAGGAAUUACUAUUCGAAAGANUAGCUAAAACCGUAUAACAUAUUAAUAGGGCAUCCUAAUAAUAUCAAAACGAUAGUGGACAAAGAUGAGCCCGCGUACUGAUUAGCUAGUUGGUGAGAUAAAAGCCCACCAAGGCAACGAUCAGUAGCCGACCUAGAGAGGGUGUNACGUGCUUCAUCAUUGGUAACUGAGACACGGUCCAAACUCCUACGGGAGGCAGCAGUGGGGAAUAUUGCACAAUGGGGGGAACCCUGAUGCAGCAACGCCGCGUGAGUGAAGAAGGCAUUCGUGUCGUAAAACUCUGUAGUAGGGGAAGAAAGAAAUGACAGUACCCUAAAAGAAAGCCCCGGCUAACUACGUGCCAGCAGCCGCGGUAAUACGUAGGGGGCAAGCGUUAUCCGGAAUAACUGGGCGUAAAGGGUGCGCAGGUGGUUUAACAAGUUAGUGGUGAAAGGCAUAGGCUCAACCAAUGUAAGCCAUUAAAACUGUUUAACUUGAGUGCAGGAGAGGAAAGUGGAAUUCCUAGUGUAGCGGUGAAAUGCGUAGAUAUUAGGAGGAAUACCAGUGGCGAAGGCGACUUUCUGGACUGCAACUGACACUGAGGCACGAAAGCGUGGGGAGCAAACAGGAUUAGAUACCCUGGUAGUCCACGCCGUAAACGAUGAGUACUAGGUGUCGGGGGAAGACCUCGGUGCCGAAGUUAACACAUUAAGUACUCCGCCUGGGGAGUACGCUCGCAAGAGUAAAACUCAAAGGAAUUGACGGGGACCCGCACAAGCAGCGGAGCAUGUGGUUUA